CGCAUGUCAAUGAAUGAUUCCACCAUUAUUUCAUAAGUUUUUAUUAUGCAAACAAGGUUAUUAAAACUUGCAUCACCAGGAAAGCAGUUACCACGAUGUGCUUCCCGCUCGAUCUUGUUUCGCACGAUGAAGGCGAUGGCGCCCGUACAGGGGUUGGAAUUUCAGUACUGCAAGAUGAAUGAAAAUUUAAAUCCUCAGCUUGCUCUCGUCGUGAUUGCCGUCUGUAUCAAACAUAUGUGUCGUGUCCUGCUCGCCGCGCAGGUUGCCGCGUCCUGCUCAGCUGCCCACCGUGGCCUUUCGCGUCACUGGUUGUGCGGAAUCGGAAGGAUGCCGUGUCCAAGCUCUAGGUGAAACCCGUUAGCGUCGUCCUCGGCGGCUCGGCGAUUCUGGCGCCCGGGCCUAGGAUCGGCGCGUUGCCAGCGAAGCAGGAAUGCAGGAUUCUCGUCCUCGACCAGUGAUAGAGGACUUCUUUGUCGGCGGCGUAGGCAUCUGGGAAUGUUUUUUAUUUUCGUUUUUUAUUUUGAUGAUAUCAGGGUUCGAGCGUGGGUGUUUUGCGUUGGAAGUGAGUUGAAGCUCGGCGGUCGCGCGCGUUGAAGCCUGAUGAUGAUGAGCGUUGAAGCCCAGAAACAAUCCUGUCCACAGGAUUGGGUUGAAUCUUGAGAGGGAUGUUUUUUAGCCCUUAGAUUUUAAUGAAGGUGAUUUUUUAGGUGUAUUUUCUUGGGUACACAAUGGUUGAACUCUCUCAGCAGGGGACACCAUCUUGGGUGGAUGUAGUAUAGUUUUGAUUGAUCCAUUAUAGUAGAGAUUAAUGAAGGUGAUUUUUUAGGUGUAUUUUCUUGGGUACACAAUGGUUGAACUCUCUCAGCGGGGGACACCAUCUUGGGUGGAUGUAGUAUAGUUUUGAUUGAUCCAUUAUAGUAGAGAUAAUAAAUGAGAUCUGCAAGCGCACAAAUUAAUACCGAUGUAGCAUUUUAACCGGGAAGUAUUCCAGGUAUCGUUAUUUAUAUUUUUACCACUGGGAAGAGAUUGCUCAACAUCAAUGUUGAUUAUGGAAUAGAAUAUAGAAUUGAGUAUCUAUCAUUGCAUGUAUAAUUGAGAGCAUCUAUUUAUCUCUUUCAUACAGGGAUAAGUGUCACAUAAAAGAUAGAUAAAGUAUGAAUGGUGACAAAGAUAAUUAAUCUGAUCAGCAUAAUUUAGCCACAUAUAAUAAUGAUAAGCACCUCAAUAGAUAUUCUACCAAGUCAUUAGCAUGGAAUUAGGACGAACUACAAGAAUAUUUCCUAAGUUAUUCUUAACUAUAAAGUCUAGC
rnacentral:lncRNA from 1 species